ensembl:lncRNA
GUUAGUGGUCUGCUCAGCCAUUGAUUGGUGCUGCAGUGGGCCCAUCCCCCAGACAACCAACAGUCAAUGAGUGACUGUUAGUGGCAGAAGUGGUGGUUGUCAGGUAGAGAGUGAGGUAUAGCAGAUGGCUUCCUGAACUUGAAGUCAAGGGUCCACUUACUAGCUGUGUGUUCUGAACUCGUCACUUGCCCUCUCUGGGCCUCUCUGGCCUCACCUGUAAAACGAGCUAAGAAGAGAGGAUCUCUAAAGUUCUUCUGGAUCUAAUAGUCGAAGACUCUGAAGCCCUGAUUCUCAUCCGAAGGAGAUCUAGGACUUAAGCCCACAGGUUUCCUGCGUCUCUGCCCGGCCCCUUGGUGCAGGUGUCUGCAUGUGUGCGUGUGGGACGGAGGAGAGAGUGUGGCGCGGUGAGGUGGGGAAUAGCAGAAGAACAGAGUUCCCCUUGAUGGCCCCUGACCUGCUCUGUCACCAUGGCAGGUCUGUUCUCGCCCUUGUGGGGCUGGGCAAGGUGGCGGGGGCAGCCGAGCCUGACAUUUGAAAGAGCAGUAUCGCUGUCUUUGAGAUCUUGCUGCCACUGCUGGGACAUUCCUGACCAGGUGGAAUUCUCCUGAUGACAUUUUUUGGGGAUGAUCAUGUGACAACUCCCUGGAGCACAGAAAGUUCUGUUAUUAGAGCUGUGGACCUGGAUUUUCAUUCUGUCCUGACCACUAAUGAGCUCUCUGACCUUUCUGAA